ACCAGUGUGGCAUAGUGGUUUGUGUUUUGGACUGCGAUUCUGGAGACCAGGGUUCGAUUUCCAGCUUGUC